rnacentral:lncRNA from 1 species
CUGGCAACAGGGCUCUCUCUCUUGGAUGUCUCAGCCAUGACAGAGACUUCUCACAUCGGAGCAGUGUCAUGGGAUGAUAUUUACUGUGAAUAGGAAGUCCCACGCCCCCCAGGUUAUAACUCCUCUACAGGAUGGCCGGGAGCUUGAAGAUGUUCUCAAUCACACACUCUGGCCUCUGCAGAACCUAAUGUUGGGGUGAGGACUCCAUCAGCACCUUGGGCCUGAUCCUUGGC